UCUCAACCAGGUGCGGUCGCGGCCCCCGGGGGCUUGCUCCCGGGUGGUAGGGGUAACACCCUCACGCGCCGCCUGCCUGUACCCUCUUUUUACGAGCACCUUUCGUUCUCCUUCGGCGGGGCAACCUGCCGCUGGAACCAAAACAAAACCUUUUUUGCAUCUAGCAUUACCUGUUCUGAUACAAAUAAUCGUUACAACUUUCAACAAUGGAUCUCUUGGCUCUGGCAUCGAUGAAGAACGCAGCGAAAUGCGAUAAGUAGUGUGAAUUGCAGAAUUCAGUGAAUCAUCGAAUCUUUGAACGCACAUUGCGCCCCUUGGUAUUCCAUGGGGCAUGCCUGUUCGAGCGUCAUCUACACCCUCAAGCUCUGCUUGGUGUUGGGCGUCUGUCCCGCCUCUGCGCGCGGACUCGCCCCAAAUUCAUUGGCAGCGGUCUUUGCCUCCUCUCGCGCAGCACAAUUGCGUCUGCGGGGGGGCGUGGCCCGCGUCCACGAAGCAACAUUACCGUCUUUGACCUCGGAUCAGGUAGGGAUACCCGCUGAACUUAAGCAUAUCAAUAA
rnacentral:rRNA from 1 species